CGCGAAACCUUUACACUGCACGCCAGUGCGAUAAGGGGACUCCAAGUGCGAGGGCAUAGCGCCCUCGCUUUUCUGCACCGUAAGGUGGUGCAGGAACAAGUGCUGGGCAAGACCGGUGCCAGCCGCCGCGGUAAUACCGGCAGCACGAGUGAUGGCCGCUGUUAUUGGGCCUAAAGCGUCCGUAGCUGGCCAGGCAAGUCUAUCGGGAAAUCUCCCCGCUUAACGGGGAGGCGUCCGGUGGAAACUGCCUGGCUUGGGACCGGAAGAUCCAGAGGGUACGUCCGGGGUAGGAGUGAAAUCCUGUAAUCCUGGACGGACCACCGGUGGCGAAAGCGCUCUGGAAAGACGGAUCCGACGGUGAGGGACGAAAGCUCGGGUCACGAACCGGAUUAGAUACCCGGGUAGUCCGAGCUGUAAACGAUGUCUGCUAGGUGCGCCACAGGCUACGGAGCCUGUGGUGUGCCGUAGGGAAAGCCGUGAAGCAGGACCGCUGGGAAAGUACGUCCGCAAGGAUGAAACUUAAAGGAAUUGGCGGGGGGAGCAC
rnacentral:rRNA from 1 species